UACGUAGGGGGCAAGCGUUGUCCGGAAUGAUUGGGCGUAAAGGGCACGCAGGCGGUUUGUUAAGUUGGAUGUCAAAGGCACUGGCUCAACCAGUGUACGCAUCCAAAACUAAUGAACUUGAGUGCAGGAGAGGAGAGUGGAAUUCCCGGUGUAGCGGUGGAAUGCGUAGAGAUCGGGAGGAACACCCGUGGCGAAGGCGACUCUCUGGCCUGCAACUGACGCUGAGGUGCGAAAGCGUGGGGAGCGAACAGG
rnacentral:misc_RNA from 1 species